rnacentral:rRNA from 1 species
UCGCACGAGAAAGGGGAGCAAUCCCUGAGUACAGUGGCGCACGGGUGAGUAACACGUGAAUGAUCUACCUCCGAGUGGGGAAUAACUGAGAGAAAUCUUAGCUAAUACCGCAUAACACUUACGAGUCAAAGCAGCAAUGCGCUUGGAGAGGAGUUCGCGGCCGAUUAGUUAGUUGGCGGGGUAAUGGCCCACCAAGACGAUGAUCGGUAUCCGGCCUGAGAGGGCGCACGGACACACUGGAACUGAAACACGGUCCAGACUCCUACGGGAGGCAGCAGUGGGGAAUUUUGCGCAAUGGGGGAAACCCUGACGCAGCAACGCCGCGUGGAGGAUGAAAUAUCUUGGUAUGUAAACUCCUUUCGAUGGGGAAGAUUAUGACGGUACCCAUAGAAGAAGCCCCGGCUAACUUCGUGCCAGCAGCCGCGGUAAUACGAGGGGGGCAAGCGUUGUUCGGAUUUAUUGGGCGUAAAGGGUGCGUAGGCGGUUUGGCAAGUCUUAUGUGAAAUCUUCGGGCUCAACCCGAAGCCUGCAUAAGAAACUGCCGGGCUUGAGUAUGGGAGAGGUGAGUGGAAUUUCCGGUGUAGCGGUGAAAUGCGUAGAUAUCGGAAGGAACACCUGUGGCGAAAGCGGCUCACUGGACCAUAACUGACGCUGAUGCACGAAAGCUAGGGGAGCAAACAGGAUUAGAUACCCUGGUAGUCCUAGCCCUAAACGAUGAUUGGCUUGGUGUGGCAGGUACCCAAUCCUGCCGUGGCGAAGCUAACGCGAUAAGCAUCCCGCCUGGGGGGGUACGGUCGCAAGGCUGAAACUCAAAGG